AUAUAGAUCAUCUUGAGAUCCUGUUACAAUAUAGACUCUGGUUCUGUGGAUCUGGGGUGGAGCCUACAAUUCUAUAUUUCUAACAUGCUCCCAGGUGAUGCUCAA
rnacentral:pre_miRNA from 1 species